rnacentral:rRNA from 2 species
GGGGAAUUUUCCGCAAUGGGCGAAAGCCUGACGGAGCAAUACCGCGUGAGGGAGGAAGGCUCUUGGGUUGUAAACCUCUUUUAUUCGGGAAGAAGAUCUGACGGUACCGAAUGAAUCAGCAUCGGCUAACUCCGUGCCAGCAGCCGCGGUAAUACGGAGGAUGCAAGCGUUAUCCGGAUUUAUUGGGCGUAAAGCGUCCGCAGGUGGCUAUACAAGUCUGCUGUUAAAGCGUGGGGCUUAACUCCAUACAGGCAGUGGAAACUGUAAAGCUAGAGUCUGGUAGGGGUCACGGGAAUUCCCAGUGUAGCGGUGAAAUGCGUAGAUAUUGGGAAGAACACCAGCGGCGAAAGCGCGUGACUGGACCGGAACUGACACUCAUGGACGAAAGCUAGGGGAGCGAAAGGGAUUAGAUACCCCUGUAGUCCUAGCCGUAAACGAUGGAUACUAGGUGUUGCCCGUAUCGACCCGGGCAGUGCCGUAGCUAACGCGUUAAGUAUCCCGCCUGGGGAGUACGCACGCAAGUGUGAAACUCAAAGGAAUUGACGGGGGCCCGCACAAGCGGUGGAGUAUGUGGUUUAAUUCGAUGCAACGCGAAGAACCUUACCAGGGCUUGACAUGUCGCGAAUCUUUGUGAAAGCAGAGAGUGCCUUCGGGAGCGCGAACACAGGUGGUGCAUGGCUGUCGUCAGCUCGUGUCGUGAGAUGUUGGGUUAAGUCCCGCAACGAGCGCAACCCUCGUUUCUAGUUGCCAUCAUUGAGUUGGGCACUCUGGAGAGACUGCCGGUGACAAACCGGAGGAAGGUGGGGAUGACGUCAAGUCAGCAUGCCCCUUACGUCCUGGGCUACACACGUGCUACAAUGCUUCGGACAGAGGGUUGCAAGCACGCGAGUGCAAGCUAAUCCCGUAAACCGAGGCUCAGUUCAGAUUGCAGGCUGCAACUCGCCUGCAUGAAGGAGGAAUCGCUAGUAAUCGCAGGUCAGCAUACUGCGGUGAAUACGUUCCCGGGCCUUGUACACACCGCCCGUCACACCAUGGGAGUUGGCCACGCCCGAAGUCGUUACUCCAACCGCUUGCGGAGGAGGACGCCGAAGGCAGGGCUGAUGACUGGGGUGAAGUCGUAACAAGGUAGCCGUACCGGAAGGUGUGGCUGGAUCACCUCCUU